GUUGAACGCUGGCGGCAGGCCUAACACAUGCAAGUCGAGCGGACGAAGGGAGCUUGCUCCUGGAUUCAGCGGCGGACGGGUGAGUAAUGCCUAGGAAUCUGCCUGGUAGUGGGGGAUAACGUCCGGAAACGGGCGCUAAUACCGCAUACGUCCUGAGGGAGAAAGUGGGGGAUCUUCGGACCUCACGCUAUCAGAUGAGCCUAGGUCGGAUUAGCUAGUUGGUGGGGUAAAGGCCUACCAAGGCGACGAUCCGUAACUGGUCUGAGAGGAUGAUCAGUCACACUGGAACUGAGACACGGUCCAGACUCCUACGGGAGGCAGCAGUGGGAAAUAUUGGACAAUGGGCGAAAGCCUGAUCCAGCCAUGCCGCGUGUGUGAAGAAGGUCUUCGGAUUGUAAAGCACUUUAAGUUGGGAGGAAGGGCAGUAAGUUAAUACCUUGCUGUUUUGACGUUACCAACAGAAUAAGCACCGGCUAACUUCGUG
rnacentral:rRNA from 1 species